rnacentral:rRNA from 1 species
CCUGGUUGAUCCUGCCACUAGUCAUAUGCUUGUCUCAAAAAUUAAGCCAUGCAUGUGUAAAUAUGAACGAAUUCAGACUGUGAAUCUGCGAAUGUCUCAUUAAAUCAUUUAUAGUUUGUUUGAUGGUAUCUACUACUCGUAUAACCGUAGUAAUUCUAAAGCUAAUACGUGCAACAAACCCCGACUUUUGGAAGGGAUACAUUUAUUAGAUAAAAGGUCGUAGUGGUUUCUCUCAGGCCCGGUUGUUCUGAUGAUUAAUGAUAACUCGACGGAUAGCAUGGCCUUAGUGUUGGCGACGCAUCAUUCAAAUUACUGCCCUAUCAACUUUCGAUGGUAGGAUAGUGCGCUACCAUGGUGGUAACGGUGACGGAGAAUUAGGGUUCGAUUUCGGAGAGGGAGCCUGAGAAACGGCUACCUCAUCCAAGGAAGGCAGCAAGCGCGCAAAUUACCCCAUCCUGACACGGGGCGGUAGUGACCAUAAAUAACAAUACCGGGCUCUUUGAGUCCGGUAAUUGGAAUGAGUACAAUCUAAAUCCCUUUACGAGGAUCCAUUGGAGGACAAGUAUGGUGCCAGAAGCUGCGGUAAUUCCAGCUCCAAUAUCGUAUAUUUAAGUGGUUGCAUUUAAAAAGCUCGUAGUUGAAACUUGGGAUGGGUAGCCCGGUCCGCCUUCGGUCAGCACCGGUCGGCUUGUCCCUUCUGUCUACGUUCUACGAUCGCCUGCAUUUAAUACUGGCCGGGUCGUGCCUCGGGCGCUGUUACUUUGAAGAAAUUAGAGUGCUCGAAGCAAGCCUACGCUCUGCAUACAUUAGCAUGGGAUAACAUCAUAGGAUUUCGAUCUUAUUGUGUUGGCCUUCGGAUCGGAGUAAUGAUUAAAAGGGACAGUCGGGGGAAUUCGUAUUUCAUAGUCAGAGUGGAAAUUGCUAGGAUUUAUGAAAGAAAAAACGCUAUUACAACUGCGAAAGCAGGUUUACCUAAGGAGAUUUUCAUUAAUUCAAUAACGAAAGGUUCGGGGGUCUUGAGAGCGAUCAAAACUCACCGAAUACUAAGUCUCAACCUAUAAAAACAUGCGACCAAGGUGAAAUACAGCGGAUAGUUCGCCUUUUAGGGACUCGUGGCCCCUUACUAGAGAAAUCAAAGUUUUUGUGUUCAGGGGGGAGUAUGGUAGCAAGGCUGAAACUUAAAGGAAUUGACUGAAGGGCACCACCAGGAGUGGAGCCUGCGGCUAAAUUUGACUCAACACGGGAAAACUUACCAGGUCCAGAAGUACACUUAGUUAAGGAUUGACCCGACUGAAGCUCUUUUCGUAUGUUAUUCUUGGGGUUGUGUGAUGUUAUGGCACUCGUAUUUGCUAUGAUUCCCGGUGAAGAGUCGAUAUUAGUUCUGGUUAAUUACCUCACAGUAACGACGGAUGCGGACCGUUCAUCCGCUACACUAGCUACCUGAGCAUCCCUUCAACGGACCGGCCUCAUCUUAGAGGGACUGAUGGGUCCGUUUGGCCAAGGAAGUUUUGAUGGCUCAAUAACAAGGUCUUGAUGCCCUUAGAUUGUUCUGCGGCCGCUACGCAGCGCUUGAGCACUGUAAAUGUAUUCAACGCAGCGGUUACACACUUGGCUGACAGGACUGCCCGUAAAAGAGUUUAAUUCUACUGUGAAAAUUUCCCUCGUGCCGAUGGAGGAUAUAGACGAUCCGUUGCGAGAUUGUCUCGUAAGUCUAACGAGGAUUUCCUAGUCAAGGCGCGUAGUAGUACCAGCUCGCUUAAAGAGGCCUUGAGGCUAUCGUCCCUACCACGUCAUGAUACAAUCGCCUCCCGAUCAGCCAUAGCCUACCGAUUGAGUGAUUCGGUGAAGUGUUCGGAUCUCGGCGACGUGGGUGGUUCGCCGUCUGCGACGUCACGAGAAGUCCACUAAACCUUAUCAUUUAGAGGAAGGAGAGGUCGUAGCAAGGUUUCCGUAGGUGAACCUUCGGAAG